rnacentral:rRNA from 2 species
GUGACUGCGUACCUUUUGUAUAAUGGGUCAGCGACUUAUAUUCUGUAGCAAGGUUAACCGAAUAGGGGAGCCGAAGGGAAACCGAGUCUUAACUGGGCGUUAAGUUGCAGGGUAUAGACCCGAAACCCGGUGAUCUAGCCAUGGGCAGGUUGAAGGUUGGGUAACACUAACUGGAGGACCGAACCGACUAAUGUUGAAAAAUUAGCGGAUGACUUGUGGCUGGGGGUGAAAGGCCAAUCAAACCGGGAGAUAGCUGGUUCUCCCCGAAAGCUAUUUAGGUAGCGCCUCGUGAAUUCAUCUCCGGGGGUAGAGCACUGUUUCGGCAAGGGGGUCAUCCCGACUUACCAACCCGAUGCAAACUGCGAAUACCGGAGAAUGUUAUCACGGGAGACACACGGCGGGUGCUAACGUCCGUCGUGAAGAGGGAAACAACCCAGACCGCCAGCUAAGGUCCCAAAGUCAUGGUUAAGUGGGAAACGAUGUGGGAAGGCCCAGACAGCCAGGAUGUUGGCUUAGAAGCAGCCAUCAUUUAAAGAAAGCGUAAUAGCUCACUGGUCGAGUCGGCCUGCGCGGAAGAUGUAACGGGGCUAAACCAUGCACCGAAGCUGCGGCAGCGACGCUUAUGCGUUGUUGGGUAGGGGAGCGUUCUGUAAGCCUGUGAAGGUGUGCUGUGAGGCAUGCUGGAGGUAUCAGAAGUGCGAAUGCUGACAUAAGUAACGAUAAAGCGGGUGAAAAGCCCGCUCGCCGGAAGACCAAGGGUUCCUGUCCAACGUUAAUCGGGGCAGGGUGAGUCGACCCCUAAGGCGAGGCCGAAAGGCGUAGUCGAUGGGAAACAGGUUAAUAUUCCUGUACUUGGUGUUACUGCGAAGGGGGGACGGAGAAGGCUAUGUUGGCCGGGCGACGGUUGUCCCGGUUUAAGCGUGUAGGCUGGUUUUCCAGGCAAAUCCGGAAAAUCAAGGCUGAGGCGUGAUGACGAGGCACUACGGUGCUGAAGCAACAAAUGCCCUGCUUCCAGGAAAAGCCUCUAAGCAUCAGGUAACAUCAAAUCGUACCCCAAACCGACACAGGUGGUCAGGUAGAGAAUACCAAGGCGCUUGAGAGAACUCGGGUGAAGGAACUAGGCAAAAUGGUGCCGUAACUUCGGGAGAAGGCACGCUGAUAUGUAGGUGA